rnacentral:rRNA from 1 species
AUUGAACGCUGGCGGCAGGCCUAACACAUGCAAGUCGAACGGUAACAGGAAGCAGCUUGCUGCUUUGCUGACGGGUGGCGGACGGGUGAGUAAUGUCUGGGAAACUGCCUGAUGGAGGGGGAUAACUACUGGAAACGGUAGCUAAUACCGCAUAACGUCGCAAGACCAAAGAGGGGGACCUUCGGGCCUCUUGCCAUCGGAUGUGCCCAGAUGGGAUUAGCUAGUAGGUGGGGUAACGGCUCACCUAGGCGACGAUCCCUAGCUGGUCUGAGAGGAUGACCAGCCACACUGGAACUGAGACACGGUCCAGACUCCUACGGGAGGCAGCAGUGGGGAAUAUUGCACAAUGGGCGCAAGCCUGAUGCAGCCAUGCCGCGUGUAUGAAGAAGGCCUUCGGGUUGUAAAGUACUUUCAGCGGGGAGGAAGGGAGUAAAGUUAAUACCUUUGCUCAUUGACGUUACCCGCAGAAGAAGCACCGGCUAACUCCGUG